rnacentral:rRNA from 1 species
GACGAACCACACAAACGUUAUUCGGAAUUACUGGGCUUAAAGGGUGCGUAGGCGGCGCGGAAAGUUGGGUGUGAAAUCCCUCGGCUCAACCGAGGAACUGCGCUCAAUACUACCGUGCUCGAGGGAGACAGAGGUGAGCGGAACUUAGGGUGGAGCGGUGAAAAUGCGUUGAUAUCCUAAGGAACACCCGUGGCGAAAGCGGCUCACUGGGUCUCUUCUGACGCUGAGGCAC